rnacentral:rRNA from 1 species
UCGGGAAUUUUGGGCAAUGGGCGCAAGCCUGAUCCAGCCAUGCCGCGUGAGUGACGAAGGCCUUAGGGUUGUAAAGCUCUUUUGGCGGGGACGAUAAUGACGGUACCCGCAGAAUAAGCCCCGGCUAACUUCGUGCCAGCAGCCGCGGUAAUACGAAGGGGGCUAGCGUUGUUCGGAAUUACUGGGCGUAAAGCGCACGUAGGCGGAUUUGUCAGUCAGGGGUGAAAUCCCGAGGCUCAACCUCGGAACUGCCUCCGAUACAGCAAGUCUCGAGUCCGGAAGAGGUGAGUGGAAUUCCUAGUGUAGAGGUGAAAUUCGUAGAUAUUAGGAAGAACACCAGUGGCGAAGGCGGCUCACUGGUCCGGUACUGACGCUGAGGUGCGAAAGCGUGGGGAGCAAACAGGAUUAGAUACCCGCGUAGUCCCUGAGCGGGCUGGCAAGGCGCAU